UACGGGGGGGAGCAAGCGUUGUUCGGAUUUACUGGGCGUAAAGGGCGCGUAGGCGGCCACCGCAAGUCGAUUGUGAAAUCUCCGGGCUUAACCCGGAAAGGUCAACCGAUACUGCGGGGCUAGAGUGCAGAAGGGGCAACUGGAAUUCUCGGUGUAGCGGUGAAAUGCGUAGAUAUCAGGAGGAACACCGGUGGCGAAGGCGGGUCUCUGGGCAGUAACUGACGUGGAGGAGCGAAAGUGUGGGGAGCGAACAGG
rnacentral:rRNA from 1 species